rnacentral:rRNA from 1 species
UACGGAGGGGGCUAGGCGUUGUUCGGAAUUACUGGGCGUAAAGCGCGCGUAGGCGGACCUGCAAGUCGGGGGUGAAAGCCCAGGGCUCAACCCUGGAAUUGCCUUCGAUACUGGAUAUCUUGAGUACGGGAGAGGUGAGUGGAACUCCGAGUGUAGAGGUGAAAUUCGUAGAUAUUCGGAAGAACACCAGUGGCGAAGGCGACUCACUGGCCCGUUACUGACGCUGACGGCGCGAAAGCGUGGGGAGCCGAACAGG